UACGUAGGGCGCAAGCGUUGUCCGGAAUUAUUGGGCGUAAAGAGCUCGUAGGCGGCCUGUUACGUCUGCUGUGAAAUCCCGGGGCUUAACCCCGGGCGUGCAGUGGAUACGGGCAGGCUGGAGGCAGGCAGGGGAGAACGGAAUUCCCGGUGUAGCGGUGAAAUGCGCAGAUAUCGGGAGGAACACCGGUGGCGAAGGCGGUGAGCUGGGCAGUUGCUGACACUGAGGCGCGACAGCGUGGGGAGCAAACAGG
rnacentral:rRNA from 1 species